GAGUUUGAUCCUGGCUCAGGACGAACGCUGGCGGCGCGCCUAAUGCAUGCAAGUCGAACGGCCCCUUAAGCCUUCGGGCUUCUGGGAUAGUGGCAAACGGCUGAGUAACGCGUAAGGGAUCUGACCUCGGGAGAGGGAUAACCCAUCGAAAGGUGGGCUAAUACCCCGUACGCUCUCCCCACGCAUGUGGGGCGAGGAUAGCCCCGGCGUAAGCCGGGACGCCCGGGGAGGACCUUGCGUCCUAUCAGGUUGUUGGCGGGGUAACGGCCCACCAAGCCUAAGACGGGUAACCGGUGUGAGAGCAUGAACGGUCAGAGGGGGACUGAGACACGGCCCCCACUCCUACGGGAGGCAGCAGCAGGGAAUUUUGCGCAAUGGGCUAACGCCUGACGCAGCGACGCCGCGUGGGGGAAGAAGGCCUUCGGGUUGUAAAUCCCUUUUCUGGGGGAAGAGUAAGGACGGUACCCCAGGAAUAAGCCCCGGCUAACUACGUGCCAGCAGCCGCGGUAAUACGUAGGGGGCGAGCGUUGUCCGGAGUUACUGGGCGUAAAGGGCGCGUAGGCGGUCCAGGUAGUCCUCGGUGAAAUCUCCCGGCUCAACCGGGAGCCGCCCGGGGAUACUCCUGGACUUGAGGACAGCAGAGGAGGGUGGAAUUCCCGGUGUAGUGGUGAAAUGCGUAGAUAUCGGGAGGAACACCAGUGGCGAAGGCGGCCCUCUGGGCUGUACCUGACGCUGAGGCGCGAAAGCGUGGGGAGCGAACCGGAUUAGAUACCCUGGUAGUC
rnacentral:rRNA from 1 species